GCUCUGUGAGGUUUUCUCGUCUAUUCAUUCAGUUUAAGCAAAAGUAUUGAACAGAAAUCAUCAGUAUUUUGUAUCCAAAUUAUAAUUUUUUUAGAAACCGUUUUUUUUUUACUGUUACCUUAAGUAUCUUACAAACCAAAAGGAAAUCCCACUAUUGAUAAUGGCCACGGUAUGCGAUAUGGUUUUCCAGCUGCCAAUGGCCCUUCUCUAUGGGCUCUUUUUCCCUUUGGAUGUAGGGAUUCCUCCGAUUCGGAUUUACACAUGAACACAAAAUUCGAAACACAUUAGAAGAAAUGUACUGACUAAGGACCACAAACGGGGAUUUUUGGUUCGACUUGUAGUCAAGUUUAGCCGAAAUCUAAAAUAAUUAUACAAUACAAUAUUUCAAUAAUUAAAUACACGCAUGCCGAUGCGAAAGCCUCAGAAAAAAACCAUAA